GCCUUCGUGGUGUAAUGGUAACACACUCGACCCGUAUUCGAGAGGUCCGGGUUCGAGUCCCGGCGAGGGUA